CUGUACCCGCCACCCCCCCUGCAAAUGCUGGGGAAAUGAGAAUCGGAUGGUGCCAGGUGGCAUUUAGAUCCCCAAGAAGACACGAGUGCAGUCUAUCUACCUCACAGUGACAGACGUUGGGCCUGGAGAGAAAGGAAAAGAAAAAAGGAAGCAAGUCGGAAAGAAGGAAAAUGGAGGACCCAAAGAAAGGGCGCCAUCCACGCAGGUGCCAUGGUAACAACGCCAUGGCAGGUCGAGUAUCGUGAACGAUGGUGUUGGUGAUGUCGUCAUCACAGUGGGAGGAGCAUUGCACCCGUAAUCACCAGCUGCCUGUUUCCAUCACCAUUCAAACAAGGUCUAUUUCACUGGACAGACAUGGUGUAAAGCCUGAUACCUAUUGGACACUGGUACGGAAAUAACAAUCACCACGGCAACCAUCGCCAUGUGGACCUUAGGCCAUACAUCCCACCGGCACCGUCCCGUUUGCGGAGGGGGGCUAUAAAACAAAGAUUAAAAAUAGUCAAAGACUCUGGUGAGACGUGCAACGCAAUAGUGACACCUAGAGGGCCGAUCGAGGACUGCUUUUGAUGGAAGGUGCUCUUUCCCGUUUACCCCUUAUGAAUUAUGCAGCAGACAUACAAUUUAGCUGCUCCCAUGGUGGACGAGGAGGUCACAUCCAGCCGCAUGGCUACCACAGCUGUACGUUAAACCUCUUCAGCCAUCAACACUCUUCUGAUCAGGUCUGGAUUCCUCCGUCUUUGUUCAGAUGACUUGUGCUAAGAAGAAAG